CCUACGGGUGGCAGCAGUGAGGAAUAUUGGUCAAUGGGCGCUAGCCUGAACCAGCCAAGUAGCGUGCAGGAUGACUGCCCUAUGGGUUGUAAACUUCUUUUAUACGGGAAUAAAGUGCAGUACGUAUACUGCUUUGCAUGUACCUUAUGAAUAAGGAUCGGCUAACUCCGUGCCAGCAGCCGCGGUAAUACGGAGGAUCCGAGCGUUAUCCGGAUUUAUUGGGUUUAAAGGGAGCGUAGGCGGGUUGUUAAGUCAGUGGUGAAAGUUUGCGGCUUAACCGUAAAAUUGCAGUUAAUACUGGCAACCUAGAGUGCAGUAGAGGUAGGCGGAAUGCAUGGUGUAGCGGUGAAAUGCUUAGAUAUCACGAAGAACUCCGAUUGCGAAGGCAGCCUACUGGACUGUAACUGACGCUGAUGCUCGAAAGUGUGGGUAGCAAACAGGAUUAGAUACCCCAGUAGUC
rnacentral:rRNA from 1 species